rnacentral:tmRNA from 1 species
AACCCAAGGUGCAUGCCGAGGGGCGGUUGGCCUCGUAAAAAGCCGCAAAAAAUAGUCGCAAACGACGAAAACUACGCUUUAGCAGCUUAAUAACCUGCUUAGAGCCCUCUCUCCCUAGCCUCCGCUCUUAGGACGGGGAUCAAGAGAGGUCAAACCCAAAAGAGAUCGCGUGGAAGCCCUGCCUGGGGUUGAAGCGUUAAAACUUAAUCAGGCUAGUUUGUUAGUGGCGUGUCCGUCCGCAGCUGGCAAGCGAAUGUAAAGACUGACUAAGCAUGUAGUACCGAGGAUGUAGGAAUUUCGGACGCGGGUUCAACUCCCGCCAGCUCCACCA